GACAUAGGUGGCGAACGUUAUCCGGAAUCAUUGGGCGUAAAGCGCGCGUAGGCGGCCUCAUAAGUCCGUUGUGAAAGUCAAAGGCUCAACCUUUGAAAGCCGAUGGAUACUGUGAGGCUAGAGUCCGGAAGAGGCGAGUGGAAUUCCUGGUGUAGCGGUGGAAUGCGCAGAUAUCAGGAGGAACACCAAUAGCGAAGGCAGCUCGCUGGGACGGUACUGACGCUAAGGCGCGAAAGCGUGGGGAGCGAACAGG
rnacentral:rRNA from 1 species